rnacentral:rRNA from 1 species
UACAGAGGGGGCGAGCGUUAUUCGGAAUUAUUGGGCGUAAAGGCGCGUAGGCGGCCUGCAAGUGACGGGUGAAAUCCCUCGGCUCAACCGAGGAACUGCCUGUCAUACUGCUAGGCUUGAGUCCGGGAGAGGUGAGUGGAAUUCCCAGUGUAGCGGUGAAAUUCGUAGAUAUCGAGAGGAACACCGGUGGCGAAGGCGGCGAUCUGGACGAUGACUGACGCUGAGACGCGAAAGCGUGGGAGCAAACAGG